AUUGAACGCUGGCGGCAUGCCUUACACAUGCAAGUCGAACGGUAACAGGUCUUCGGAUGCUGACGAGUUGCGGACGGGUGAGUAAUACAUCGGAACGUGCCUAGCAGUGGGGGAUAACUGCUCGACAGAGUGGAUAAUACCCUAUGAGAUCUACGGAUGAAAGGAGGGAAGCGCAAGACCUUGUGGUAACAGGGCGGCCGAUGGCAGAUUAGGUAGUUGGUGAGGUAAAAGCUUACCAAGCCGACGAUCUGUAGCUGGUCUGAGAGGACGAUCAGCCACACUGGGACUGAGACACGGCCCAGACUCCUACGGGAGGCAGCAGUGGGGAAUAUUGGACAAUGGGCGCAAGCCUGAUCCAGCAAUGCCGCGUGCAGGAAGAAGGCCUUCGGGUUGUAAACUGCUUUCGGUCGGAACGAAAAGCCUCGGGUUAAUACCCUAGGUUAAUGACGUUACCGUAAGAAGAAGCACCGGCUAACUACGUGCCAGCCGCCGCCGUAA
rnacentral:rRNA from 1 species